rnacentral:rRNA from 1 species
GGGUUGUGAGGUUAAGCGACUAAGCGUACACGGUGGAUGCCCUGGCAGUCAGAGGCGAUGAAGGACGUGCUAAUCUGCGAUAAGCGUCGGUAAGGUGAUAUGAACCGUUAUAACCGGCGAUUUCCGAAUGGGGAAACCCAGUGUGAUUCGUCACACUAUCAUUAACUGAAUCCAUAGGUUAAUGAGGCGAACCGGGGGAACUGAAACAUCUAAGUACCCCGAGGAAAAGAAAUCAACCGAGAUUCCCCCAGUAGCGGCGAGCGAACGGGGAGCAGCCCAGAGCCUGAAUCAGUGUGUGUGUUAGUGGAAGCGUCUGGAAAGGCGCGCGAUACAGGGUGACAGCCCCGUACACAAAAAUGCACAUGCUGUGAGCUCGAUGAGUAGGGCGGGACACGUGGUAUCCUGUCUGAAUAUGGGGGGACCAUCCUCCAAGGCUAAAUACUCCUGACUGACCGAUAGUGAACCAGUACCGUGAGGGAAAGGCGAAAAGAACCCCGGCGAGGGGAGUGAAAAAGAACCUGAAACCGUGUACGUACAAGCAGUGGGAGCACGCUUAGGCGUGUGACUGCGUACCUUUUGUAUAAUGGGUCAGCGACUUAUAUUCUGUAGCAAGGUUAACCGAAUAGGGGAGCCGAAGGGAAACCGAGUCUUAACUGGGCGUUAAGUUGCAGGGUAUAGACCCGAAACCCGGUGAUCUAGCCAUGGGCAGGUUGAAGGUUGGGUAACACUAACUGGAGGACCGAACCGACUAAUGUUGAAAAAUUAGCGGAUGACUUGUGGCUGGGGGUGAAAGGCCAAUCAAACCGGGAGAUAGCUGGUUCUCCCCGAAAGCUAUUUAGGUAGCGCCUCGUGAAUUCAUCUCCGGGGGUAGAGCACUGUUUCGGCAAGGGGGUCAUCCCGACUUACCAACCCGAUGCAAACUGCGAAUACCGGAGAAUGUUAUCACGGGAGACACACGGCGGGUGCUAACGUCCGUCGUGAAGAGGGAAACAACCCAGACCGCCAGCUAAGGUCCCAAAGUCAUGGUUAAGUGGGAAACGAUGUGGGAAGGCCCAGACAGCCAGGAUGUUGGCUUAGAAGCAGCCAUCAUUUAAAGAAAGCGUAAUAGCUCACUGGUCGAGUCGGCCUGCGCGGAAGAUGUAACGGGGCUAAACCAUGCACCGAAGCUGCGGCAGCGACGCUGAUGCGUUGUUGGGUAGGGGAGCGUUCUGUAAGCCUGCGAAGGUGUGCUGUGAGGCAUGCUGGAGGUAUCAGAAGUGCGAAUGCUGACAUAAGUAACGAUAAAGCGGGUGAAAAGCCCGCUCGCCGGAAGACCAAGGGUUCCUGUCCAACGUUAAUCGGGGCAGGGUGAGUCGACCCCUAAGGCGAGGCCGAAAGGCGUAGUCGAUGGGAAACAGGUUAAUAUUCCUGUACUUGGUGUUACUGCGAAGGGGGGACGGAGAAGGCUAUGUUGGCCGGGCGACGGUUGUCCCGGUUUAAGCGUGUAGGCUGGUUUUCCAGGCAAAUCCGGAAAAUCAAGGCUGAGGCGUGAUGACGAGGCACUACGGUGCUGAAGCAACAAAUGCCCUGCUUCCAGGAAAAGCCUCUAAGCAUCAGGUAACAUCAAAUCGUACCCCAAACCGACACAGGUGGUCAGGUAGAGAAUACCAAGGCGCUUGAGAGAACUCGGGUGAAGGAACUAGGCAAAAUGGUGCCGUAACUUCGGGAGAAGGCACGCUGAUAUGUAGGUGAAGCGACUUGCUCGUGGAGCUGAAAUCAGUCGAAGAUACCAGCUGGCUGCAACUGUUUAUUAAAAACACAGCACUGUGCAAACACGAAAGUGGACGUAUACGGUGUGACGCCUGCCCGGUGCCGGAAGGUUAAUUGAUGGGGUCAGCGCAAGCGAAGCUCUUGAUCGAAGCCCCGGUAAACGGCGGCCGUAACUAUAACGGUCCUAAGGUAGCGAAAUUCCUUGUCGGGUAAGUUCCGACCUGCACGAAUGGCGUAAUGAUGGCCAGGCUGUCUCCACCCGAGACUCAGUGAAAUUGAACUCGCUGUGAAGAUGCAGUGUACCCGCGGCAAGACGGAAAGACCCCGUGAACCUUUACUAUAGCUUGACACUGAACAUUGAGCCUUGAUGUGUAGGAUAGGUGGGAGGCUUUGAAGUGUGGACGCCAGUCUGCAUGGAGCCGACCUUGAAAUACCACCCUUUAAUGUUUGAUGUUCUAACGUUGACCCGUAAUCCGGGUUGCGGACAGUGUCUGGUGGGUAGUUUGACUGGGGCGGUCUCCUCCUAAAGAGUAACGGAGGAGCACGAAGGUUGGCUAAUCCUGGUCGGACAUCAGGAGGUUAGUGCAAUGGCAUAAGCCAGCUUGACUGCGAGCGUGACGGCGCGAGCAGGUGCGAAAGCAGGUCAUAGUGAUCCGGUGGUUCUGAAUGGAAGGGCCAUCGCUCAACGGAUAAAAGGUACUCCGGGGAUAACAGGCUGAUACCGCCCAAGAGUUCAUAUCGACGGCGGUGUUUGGCACCUCGAUGUCGGCUCAUCACAUCCUGGGGCUGAAGUAGGUCCCAAGGGUAUGGCUGUUCGCCAUUUAAAGUGGUACGCGAGCUGGGUUUAGAACGUCGUGAGACAGUUCGGUCCCUAUCUGCCGUGGGCGCUGGAGAAUUGAGGGGGGCUGCUCCUAGUACGAGAGGACCGGAGUGGACGCAUCACUGGUGUUCGGGUUGUCAUGCCAAUGGCACUGCCCGGUAGCUAAAUGCGGAAGAGAUAAGUGCUGAAAGCAUCUAAGCACGAAACUUGCCCCGAGAUGAGUUCUCCCUGACUCCUUGAGAGUCCUGAAGGAACGUUGAAGACGACGACGUUGAUAGGCCGGGUGUGUAAGCGCAGCGAUGCGUUGAGCUAACCGGUACUAAUGAACCGUGAGGCUUAACCUUACAACGCCGAAG